rnacentral:rRNA from 1 species
UACGAAGGGGGCUAGCGUUGUUCGGAAUCACUGGGCGUAAAGGGCGCGUAGGCGGACCUGCAAGUCGGGGGUGAAAGCCCGAGCUCAACCUCGGAACGUGCCUUCGAUACUGCGGGUCUCGAGUCCGGGAGAGGUGAGUGGAAUUCCUAGUGUAGAGGUGAAAUUCGUAGAUAUUAGGAAGAACACCAGUGGCGAAGGCGGCUCACUGGCCCGGUACUGACGCUGAGGCGCGAAAGCGUGGGGAGCGAACAGG